rnacentral:tRNA from 1 species
ACUAUUUUGGCAGAUAAGUGCCUUAGAUUUAGAAUCUAAAUAUGUAGUGGUGAUUACAAAUAGUA